CGCUCGACGAAUCUACCCGCCACCCCGCAGCUGCCUCCCGAGUUCCGAUCACCUCCAUCGUCGUCCGCCAACGCGCCUCGCCCGCGGCGCCGUCCGCCCGCGUGCCUCCUUCCGCCCCAAUCGGAGGCAGUAUAGGCGGAAAGGCACGUCGCGCCGCCACAUCUGGAGAGGGAGGGGCAGGGGCACCAACGUCACGCUGGAUGUGCCUCACAAGUGAGCAGCAGCCAGGUUGAUCCGCUACCUAAAUUUCUCUCUAAAACUGCUUACUCUGGGUUCUCUCUUCACCGCCGGCGAGGGUGUCGCCUAGGAGCGGCGGGGGCAGGGGGUCGCCGAUGGGCGACCUGUGGCUGCGGACACGGGGAGGGGGAGAAGGGCCUGGGAUACACAACGGGAGCCACGAUAGUGAGAUGGGCCUGACCAUGCUCGUCAGCGACUGCCUCGAGUGCGGCGGCGGCGGAGACCCAGGCUCCCCGACCUCGCCCACUUCGCAGACAAGAUCACCAUGUACAAGCAAGCAGGAGACCAGAAAGAAAAGGAGGUGCUCUCCGUCGUUCACUCCCUCUUGUUCUUGAUCCACGAGGCAGGGCUCCAGGAUUUUGUAAGAGGUCAAUGUACUGGCAGCUGCAUCCGCCAUUUACCCAUGAAGCUCCUGAAGUACUCGAGAUACGAAGCGGCUGUCUGCGUGUCCAAAUGGCAGGCCUUCGACAAGAUACCUGGAGGUGAUCAUGAGUACAUUGAAUAUUAGUGGAUUUGAAUCAUCUUAUGGUCUGCCUAUAAAUGUAACUUGAUCAUGGUAAGCUAUGUUCCAUCAACGAUCACUUCCUUGACAUUCUUUCUGCGCAUCUCCUUGUGAAAUACUUGGUGAUAUCCCUUGUUCAUAUUAUGUUCCUUGGAGAAUUUUUUGUUGGAAACUCAACAAGGUUAGAUGAUAACAGGACAGGAACCAAAAUAUACCGACACCUAGCUUUCUUUUUGUUGAGUGACACAGCUUAAUUGGACAAAUUUAACACAGGUGUAUGUGUAGUGCUUUUCUACCGACCUUAUUCUAUUGAAUGUUUGGUUCCUCCCCUUAAAAUUUAGGUUGGAAAUAUACUAGAUUAAUAGUGGAAGCCAUUUUUGCUUUGGUGAUUUCGUGAAGUUCAGAUUUUGGUUUAUCACUAUUCAGACUAAUCUAUGUAACGAUUGCUUGGGAUUUGCCUACAGUACAUGAAUUUAGUAUCAGUUUACAUAAUAUAUAGACAUGUCAAGUUGUUUGCAUCAGAAAUUCAAUCCAGCAGAAGCAUUGCCAUUACUAUUCGCUACAAGUUACUUGAGAAAUAGGCCCUAGAGACAUGUUUUAAGAAGCAGAACAAAGCUUUCUGUCUAUAAUUGCAUAAAUUCAUGGAAUCCUUGUGGUAGUUAUUUCUCCAGGUAUGGCAAAAGUCAUGGAGUCUUUACUAUUUGUAAAUGUAAGUGCACACCCAAGUGCAGAUCUCAGUAGGCUUUCUGAAGUAUAACUGAUCUGAAAUUCUACAAAAUUCAUUUCUCGGUCUUUGCAUGACCACCUCUGCGUCAUACACAAGGUCCUUAGUAGAAUGCAUCAUGCAGUGACUCCUAUAAGGAAGGACUGGAACAAGUAUUGAUGUUUUACUUUUUAUUAUCUGUGUUUGUACUUUGCUUUGUGCUAGGAAAAUUGGCUAAAGACCAUCACUUUUACAGCACACAUUAUAAUAAAACUAUUCUCCUCC